UGCCUCAGUAGCGGCGAGUGAACAGGCAAAAGCUCAGAUUUGAAAGCCUUCGGGCAUUGUAUUCUGAAGCCUUGGACCUGAAAACAAGUGUUUAAGUCUUCUGGAAAGGAGCGCCAUAGAGGGUGACAGCCCCGUAAAGCACUAAUUUUCAUUGUAGGUUCUUGGCAUGGAGUCGAGUUGUUUGGGAAUGCAGCUCAAAUGGGUGGUAUGCUCCAUCUAAAGCUAAAUAUCUGCGAGAGACCGAUAGCGAACAAGUACUGUGAAGGAAAGAUGAAAAGAACUUUGAAAAGAGAGUGAAAUAGUAUGUGAAAUUGUUGAAAUGGAAGGGUAGGCCGCUAACCAUGUAGAGUCGUGUUUGGGGGGAAGAUAAAAGCUGAAGAAUGUAGCUCCUCGGAAUGUUAUAGCUUCAGUCAAUAUUCCCAUCCGGGCGCGAGGACCUAA
rnacentral:rRNA from 1 species